CAGCAGCCGCGGUAAUACGGAGGGUGCAAGCGUUAUCCGGAUUCACUGGGUUUAAAGGGUGCGUAGGUGGGCAGGUAAGUCAGUGGUGAAAUCUCCGGGCUUAACCCGGAAACUGCCGUUGAUACUAUCUGUCUUGAAUGUAGUGGAGGUGAGCGGAAUAUGUCAUGUAGCGGUGAAAUGCUUAGAUAUGACAUAGAACACCCAUUGCGAAGGCAGCUCGCUACACUAUUAUUGACACUAAGGCACGAAAGCGUGGGGAUCAAACAGGAUUAGAUACCCCCGUAGUCCCUGUCUCUUAUAA
rnacentral:rRNA from 1 species